UACGAAGGGGGCGAGCGUUGUUCGGAUUUACUGGGCGUAAAGGGCGCGCAGGCGGCUUUGUUUGUCAGGCGUGAAAGCCCCGGGCUUAACCUGGGAACUGCGUCUGAUACUGGACGGCUUGAGUAUGGGAGAGGAACGUAGAAUUCCAGGUGUAGCGGUGAAAUGCGUAGAUAUCUGGAGGAAUACCGGUGGCGAAGGCGGCGUUCUGGACCAUUACUGACACUGAAUCGCGAAAGCUAGGGAGCAAACGGG
rnacentral:rRNA from 1 species